UAGAUUUACACCUAAUUCUAAGGAAAAAUAGUUUUUCAAAUUUCACUUAAUAGAAUCUCAAGUAAAACUCAAGCUUUUUGAUGUCUCACUCAUGUACACAGACAGCUUCAUCUUGGGAACUGCCUGAUUGCUUGAAAAAUAACACCAAUUGGUUUGAAAAUAUUUUUGAAGAACUUCCAACUGAAGGAAUACAGGAAACUAACACAGUGGACUCAAUAAUAGGAAUGAAAGAAUUGUAUGUUAAUGAAAAAGCAACAUCAGAAAACUUAAAAGUAGAGGGAGAUGAAACUUCUGAUCAUUUAUGCUUUAGUUUGGCAACAAAGGAUAUUGGAUACAUAGUAAUUACUACCUUGUUUUAGAUGUUCCAGAUUAGAAUAAAAUUGGUAAGCAUAGUACAAUAACUUCUGAUAUUAAAACAUGUUAAAAUCUAGAUUUUUUAGAUUAUUUUUCUAGGAG
rnacentral:lncRNA from 1 species